GCUAAUAUUCAUGAGCAUAAUGGUCACAAGCUAUUUACAAAAUGCCUUCAUGAAACAAUUGUAGAGCUUGGCUCAAGAAAGGGUCAGCUGCUAACAAAAAAUUAGAGGAGAUGUUGACAAGGCCUUGACUAAUUGCAGAAAUUCAAAAGUUAUCCAAGUAUCACCAGACAUCAGGCUUAGAAGCCAAACAUGCUUUGGAUAAUAUGCUUGCCUCAAAGAAUACUCAUCAUUCAUAUCACUCAUUGAGUGCAAGAUAGACUGUACUGUUCAAACUUGCACCACAAUGAGAACAGCA